AUUCAGACCCAUUUGACAUCCCCAUUGGAACCUUAUAAAGAGCAAUAACUUUUCAUUCCCAAGUAAUGUGGGAUCCCAUACACGACCUACCCUUAUCCUUAUUAUAUGGGGUAUCACACUCAAGUACACAAAUGAAGAUGCUCAAGGAGUUGAGAGAUAGCGUCCCUAUCUAAAUCUAAACCUAAUACAGCUGCUAAGGAGAAAGUUCUAUGGCUUCCUAACACCAAGGAUUUCUCUCGUCGGAAUCUACUGGAAUUUCUCUACCAAAGUCAAGAAACUGGGUGUUUAUACUUUUCUUUUCAGGUCAAGAAUCUGAAGUGGAUCAAGGAGCUGUUGGAGAGGACAAUGCUUGAUGUA